AGUAAAUAGAUACCCCGGUAGUCCACGCCGUAAACGAUGAAUACUAGGUGUAGGAGGUAUCGACUCCUUCUGUGCCGCAGUUAAACACAAUAAGUAUUCCGCCUGGGGAGUACGGUCGCAAGAUUAAAACUCAAAGGAAUUGACGGGGGCCCGCACAAGCAGCGGAGCAUGUGGUUUAAAUUCGAAGCAACGCGAAGAACCUUACCCAGACUUGACAUCUCCUGAAUUAAUCGUAAUUGAUGAAAUCCCUUCGGGGACAGGAGGACAGGUGGUGCAUGGUUGUCGUCAGCUCGUGUCGUGAGAUGUUGGGUUAAGUCCCGCAACGAGCGCAACCCUUAUCAUUAGUUGCUAACAUUCAGUUGAGCACUCUAGUGAGACUGCCCGGGUUAACCGGGAGGAAGGUGGGGAUGACGUCAAAUCAUCAUGCCCCUUAUGUCUGGGGCUACACACGUGCUACAAUGGUGGGAACAAAGAGAUGCAAGACCGCGAGGUGGAGCCAAACUCAAAAACCCAUCCCAGUUCGGAUUGUAGGCUGAAACUCGCCUAC
rnacentral:rRNA from 1 species